rnacentral:rRNA from 1 species
AGUUGUAUCCUGGCUCAGGNUGAGCGCUGGCGGUAUGCCUUAUACAUGCAAGUCGUACGAGAGUUUUUAACUCAAGUGGCGGACGGGUGAGUAACACGUAAGAAUUUACCUUUAGGAGGGGGACAACAACUGGAAACGGUUGCUAAUACCCCAUAUGCUUUCGAGUGAAACGGAUUUUCCGCCUAGAGAGAAGCUUGCGGCUGAUUAGCUUGUUGGUAGAGUAAUAGCCUACCAAGGCGACGAUCAGUAUCUGGUUUGAGAGGACGAUCAGACACACUGGAACUGAGACACGGUCCAGACUCCUACGGGAGGCAGCAGUANGGAAUUUUCCGCAAUGGGCGAAAGCCUGACGGAGCAAUACCGCGUGAGGGAUGAAUGCCUAUGGGUUGUAAACCUCUUUUUUCAGGGAGGAAUAUAUGACGUGUACCUGAAGAAUAAGCAUCGGCUAACUCCGUGCCAGCAGCCGCGGUAAGACNGAGGAUGCANGUGUUAUCCGGAAUCACUGGGCGUAAAGCGUCUGUAGGUGGUCNAAUAAGUCAACUGUNAAAUCUUGAGGCUCAACCUCNAAAAUCNCAGUCUANACUAUUAGACUAGAGUAUAGUANAGGUAAAGGGAAUUUNCAGNGGANCGGUGAAAUGCUUANAGAUUGGAAAGAAACAU